CAUAUUGUAAUUGAAGAAAAAUAGAAAUACACCCUUUAGUUUAUGUGUUUCCAUAAACGCCCUUCAGAAUGUUUUCCUUAUGUCAAAUAUAAAUUCAAUUUCGCCCGUUGACUCUUUCUUAUUGGAAAAUCAGAUGUAAUUUUCGCCUGUUGACAGAGCCUUCCUGCAUAAUCAGUAUUUCAAUUGCGCCUUUCUGCUGGAAGAAUAGGAAAUGAAAUAGUUUUGGAGUUGUUGAAAGAAAAUAUGGAAUUGAACAGCCUAGGAUCGCAUCGAAUAAUGCCUUGGACAGGAAACUACUGCCAUUCGGAUUCUUCAUUUCCACAAAAUCCAAUCUGUUCUUUGUACGUCUGCACAUUGCCAGUAUCAACCAGAACAGAGUUCACACUAUCAUACCAAGCUCAUCGUAGUUGUCCGAUUUUUGCAGUAUGUAGGAGGAAUCGUCUUCCCAACAAUUUCGACGAGGAAAACCAAAUUUUCGAUCCUAAAAUUUAGUUGCUAUCGGUUUUGCUGACAACGACAAGAUCCAGUUGUGAGGCCACCAAGCCCGAAUUAUGUAUCACAGGCAUCUGUUGAUAAACACCUGCAGUCGUUAAGUGUUCUCCGUUGAUACACACCAUGAUUCGCUGGCGUGUAUCAGCACAGAUUCCUCGUUUAAAAACUCGGUUAGUGUUUUAGUUACUUACAAAUAAGGCAUCGCCACUAUGAAUAAAUCCGGGUUUCACAUAAGUGAUUAUCGAGUGAAUAUAGUAAAUAGAGUUUCUCCAAGAAAAAUAAAAUUUGAACCAAAAUAGUUAUGCUAAAUA